rnacentral:lncRNA from 1 species
GGCAGGCUAGAUGUGGCCUGUUUAUUCAUGUGCUCCUAGGAAAACAUUGGGUGAAUUUUACUUGUUUUGUUUUUACCUGCAGAGCCUAUGCUCCAUCCUUAUAUUAAGUGUAAUUAGUUCUGGCUGUAGGGAUGCUUUAGGGAUGGCAAUACGUAUGGGGUGACUCAUGGUUUUGGACAAAGCUCAGCCAGAACCUUAUAAAAUCAUGCCACUAAUGCUAGGCCUCUUGCAAUUCGGUGUUCCUCUUGUUUCUACAUAAAAAAGCAACGUCUGUUUCCAUAGAUCAUGGGGGAGAAUGUGUCUUCAUUAUUGGUUGGACCCAGAUUAGACUACUCUUACUGAAUGAUGACAUCUUGGUCACCAGUGGUUUGAGUAGCAGCUAUGACCCUAGUUACUACAACAAAAAGCAAUUGUUAAAGUCAAGAAUCCCUUUGCUUUAGCAACAUUCCAGUCCUUUGGUUCCUUACUAGAUAUCAAAGGAAUUAUAGAAUUUGCCCUUGUAUUAUCUCAAGAGAACAUUUUAGACCAGCAUUGUAGCAUAAUUAAGGAAUGUGUCUUAUAUCCUCUCCUUUGAGAAGUUCCCUUCAUCCAAAUGUAUGAUCUGUGUGAGCGGGCGAGUGUGCAAGUACACAUGAGUGUACAUGAACAUAGAUAGAUACAUUCAGGAGGUAUAAACACACUCCUUAUAUGAAGAAGAUAUGAAUUUGUAUUCACGAAGCAAUGGACUCAUACAACCAACACUCAGUGGAAGACUCAGAGAAACCAGAAAGGAGGGCUACUUAUUAAACAUGCAUGGCUACUCAUUAAAUAUGCAUGGCCACUCAUUAAACAUGCAUACACAGAUGCUUUUGACCAUGCUCUCUACAGGGAAAGUGCAGGCUUAACAGUUCACUUGAAUUGUCUGAAUAAGAUUUUUACUAAUUCCCGAUAUUAAGAAAUUUCUGAGCCAGACAUGAUAGUGCACAUCUUUAAUCCCAGCACUCAGGAGGCAGAGGCAGACAGAUCUCUGUGAUUUCUUUAGGUCAACAUGGUCUACUAAACAAGUUCCUGGACAGCCAGAGCUGUUACACAGAGAAACUCUGUCUAGAAAAACAAAC